UUUGACCUACGGGAGGCAGCAGUGAGGAAUAUUGGUCAAUGGGCGCGAGCCUGAACCAGCCAAGUCGCGUGAGGGAAUAAGGCCCUACGGGUCGUAAACCUCUUUUGCCGGGGGGCAAGGGCCGGGACGCGUCCCGGCCCGGAGAGUACCCGGAGAAAAAGCAUCGGCUAACUCCGUGCCAGCAGCCGCGGUAAUACGGAGGAUGCGAGCGUUAUCCGGAUUUAUUGGGUUUAAAGGGUGCGUAGGCGGGCUUUUAAGUCAGCGGUAAAAAUUCGGGGCUCAACCCCGUCCGGCCGUUGAAACUG
rnacentral:rRNA from 1 species